GCUUAACGCGAAGAACCUUACCUGGGCUUGACAUACGCCGGAUCGCCGCAGAGAUGUGGUUUCCCUUGUGGCCGGUGUACAGGUGGUGCAUGGUUGUCGUCAGCUCGUGUCGUGAGAUGUUGGGUUAAGUUCCCGCAACGAGCGCAACCCUUGUCUUGUGUUGCCAGCACGUUAUGGUGGGGACUCGCGAGAGACUGCCGGGGUUAACUCGGAGGAAGGUGGGGAUGACGUCAAAUCAUCAUGCCCCUUAUGUCCAGGGCUUCACACAUGCUACAAUGGUCGGUACAGUGGGUUGCGAUGCCGUGAGGUGGAGCUAUCCCUUAAAGCCGGUCUCAGUUCGGAUUGGAGUCUGCAACUCGACUCCAUGAAGUCGGAGUCGCUAGUAAUCGCAGAUCAGCAACGCUGCGGUGAAUACGUUCCCCGGGUCUUGUACACACCG
rnacentral:rRNA from 1 species